rnacentral:rRNA from 1 species
GCGUUGUUCGGAAUUACGUGGGCGUAAAGCGCAUGUAGGCGGACUAUUUAAGUCGGGGGUGAAAUCCCGGGGGCUCAACCUCGGAACUGCCUUUGAUACUGGGUGUCUAGAGUGUGGAAGAGGUAAGUGGAAUUCCGAGUGUAGAGGUGAAAUUCGUAGAUAUUCGGAGGAACACCAGUGGCGAAGGCGGCUUACUGGUCCAUUACUGACGCUGAGGUGCGAAAGCGUGGGGAGC